rnacentral:rRNA from 1 species
ACUCCUACGGGAGGCAGCAGUAGGGAACCUUCCACAAUGGGCGCAAGCCUGAUGGAGCAACACCGCGUGAGUGAAGAAGGGUUUCGGCUCGUAAAGCUCUGUUGUUAAAGAAGAACACGUAUGAGAGUAACUGUUCAUACGUUGACGGUAUUUAACCAGAAAGUCACGGCUAACUACGUGCCAGCAGCCGCGGUAAUACGUAGGUGGCAAGCGUUAUCCGGAUUUAUUGGGCGUAAAGAGAGUGCAGGCGGUUUCUAAGUCUGAUGUGAAAGCCUUCGGCUUAACCGGAGAAGUGCAUCGGAAACUGGAUAACUUGAGUGCAGAAGAGGUAGUGGAACUCCAUGUGUAGCGGUGGAAUGCGUAGAUAUAUGGAAGAACACCAGUGGCGAAGGCGGCUACCUGGUCUGCAACUGACGCUGAGACUCGAAAGCAUGGGUAGCGAACAGGAUUAGAUA